GGGCCUUGACUCAGUGGUAGAGCAUCUCCUUGGCACUCAGAAGGUCCCAGUUUCAAUUCCUGGCAUUUCCA
rnacentral:tRNA from 1 species